rnacentral:rRNA from 1 species
AGAGUUUGAUCCUGGCUCAGAUUGAACGCUGGCGGCAUGCCUUACACAUGCAAGUCGAACGGUAACGCGGGGGCAACCCUGGCGACGAGUGGCGAACGGGUGAGUAAUACAUCGGAACAUAUCCAGUAGCGGGGGAUAACCUAUCGAAAGAUGGACUAAUACCGCAUACGAUCUACGGAUGAAAGCAGGGGACCGCAAGGCCUUGCACUAUUGGAGUGGCCGAUGUCGGAUUAGCUAGUUGGUGAGGUAAAGGCUUACCAAGGCGACGAUCCGUAGCUGGUCUGAGAGGACGAUCAGCCACACUGGAACUGAGACACGGUCCAGACUCCUACGGGAGGCAGCAGUGGGGAAUAUUGGACAACGGGCGAAAGCCUGAUCCAGCCAUGCCGCGUGAGUGAUGAAGGCCUUAGGGUUGUAAACUUCUUUUGUUCGUGAAUAAGAGGCCUAUGGAAACAUGGGACGUGAAUGUAACGGAUGAAUAAGCCACGGCUAACUUCGUGCCAGCAGCCGCGGUAAUACGAAGGUGGCAAGCGUUACUCGGAAUUACUAGGCGUAAAGGGCAGGUAGGUGGUUUGGUUAGUCUGUUGUGAAAGCUCCCGGCUUAACUGGGAGAGGCCAACAGAUACUGCCAGACUUGAGUAUGGGAGAGGUUACUGGAAUUCCUGGUGUAGCGGUGAAAUGCGCAGAGAUCAGGAGGAACACCGAUGGCGAAAGCAGGUAACUGGACCAUUACUGACACUAAGCUGCGAAAGCUAGGGGAGCAAACAGGAUUAGAUACUCUGGUAGUCCUAGCCGUAAACGAUGCACAUUAGACGUGAGGGGUAUCGACCUCUUUCGUGUCGACGCAAACGCAUUAAAUGUGCCGCCUGGGGGAGUAC